rnacentral:ncRNA from 1 species
GCGUCAUUGGGGCGGAGCAUGAGCACACAUGAUGAGACCUGAAAGAUGGUGAACUAUGCUUGCGUAGGUUGAAGCCAGAGGAAACUUGUGGUGGAGGACCGUAGCGAUUCUGACAUGCAAAUCCAUCGUCAAACGUGAGUAUAUGAGCAAAAGACUAGUCGAACCAUCCAGUAGCUAGUUUUCUUCGGAGUUUCCUCAGGACAGCUGGCAUUCAUCGGCAUCAGUUUUAUCCGGUAAAGCGGAUGAUGAGAGGUGCUGGGUUCGAAACGAGCUCAACUUAUUCUCCAUCUUUAAAUGGAUUAGGUAUCCAACUGACUUCUCAUGCGUGCAUGCCUCGUUCAUGGUGGAGUUGGGCUUUGAAUGUGCGAGUGCCAAGUAGGCCAUUGUGGUCAGCAGUACUGGCACUUCUGCAUGUCAAAUAAGUACCGUGUUGAAUGGCCAAAUCGGCACAUAAGAUGACCAACAGAACGGAAAUGGCAAAUGUG